rnacentral:rRNA from 1 species
CGCGUGAGGACCUGCCCUUAGACCGGAUAACCAUGGAAACCGUGCUAAUGCCGGAUUUCUCACCGCUCCGCAUGUGCAGUGAGGAAAUGGUCAGCCGCUACAGGAUGGCCUCGCGGCCUAUCAGCUAGUUGGUGGGGUAACGGCCUACCAAGGCGACGACGGGUAGCUGGCGUGAGAGCGCGAACAGCCACACUGGGACUGAGACACGGCCCAGACUCCUACGGGAGGCAGCAGUGGGGAAUCUUGCGCAAUGGGCGAAAGCCUGACGCAGCGACGCCGCGUGCGGGAAGAAGGCCUUCGGGUUGUAAACCGCUUUCAGGAGGGAAGAAGCGAAAGUGACGGUACCUCCAGAAGAAGGACCGGCCAACUACGUGCCAGCAGCCGCGGUAAUACGUAGGGUCCAAGCGUUGUCCGGAAUUAUUGGGCGUAAAGAGCUCGUAGGCGGUCCGUUAAGUCGAAUGUGAAAUCUCAGGGCUCAACCCUGAAAUCGCAUUCGAUACUGGCGGACUUGAGGCAGGUAGGGGAAGGUGGAAUUACCUGGUGUAGCUGGUGAAAUGCGCAUAUAUCAGGAGGAACACAGGUGGAGAAGGCGUCAUUCCGCGCCUGUACCGCCGCUGAGGAGUGAAAGAAUGGGGAACAAUGGGAUUAGAUACCCCCAGUAGUC